rnacentral:rRNA from 1 species
GAUGAACGCUGGCGGCGUGCCUAAUACAUGCAAGUCGAGCGAACGGACGAGAAGCUUACUUUUCUGAUGUUAGCGGCGGACGGGUGAGUAACACGUGGAUAACCUACCUAUAAGACUGGGAUAACUUCGGGAAACCGGAGCUAAUACCGGAUAAUAUUUUGAACCGCAUGGUUCAAAAGUGAAACACGGUCUUCCUGUCACUUAUAGAUGGAUCCGCGCUGCAUUAGCUAGUUGGUAAGGUAACGGCUUACCAAGGCAACGAUGCAUAGCCGACCUGAGAGGGUGAUCGGCCACACUGGAACUGAGACACGGUCCAGACUCCUACGGGAGGCAGCAGUAGGGAAUCUUCCGCAAUGGGCGAAAGCCUGACGGAGCAACGCCGCGUGAGUGAUGAAGGUCUUCGGAUCGUAAAGCUCUGUUAUUAGGGAAGAACAUAUGUGUAAGUAAAUGUGGACAUCUUGACGGUACCUAAUCAGAAAGCCACGGCUAACUACGUG